ACUGCUCAGUAACACGUGGAUAACCUGCCCUAAGGAAGGGGAUAACCUCGGGAAACUGAGGAUAAUACCCUAUAGGUUACAGACGCUGGAAUGCCCUGUAACCGAAAGUUCCGGCGCCUUAGGAUGGAUCUGCGGCCGAUUAGGUUGUUGUUGGGGUAACGGCCCAACAAGCCAAUAAUCGGUACGGGUUGUGGGAGCAAGAGCCCGGAGUUGGAUUCUGAGACAUGAAUCCAGGCCCUACGGGGCGCAGCAGGCGCGAAAACUUUACAAUGCGGGAAACCGUGAUAAGGGAACCCCGAGUGCCCGUAAAUUCGGGCUGUCCAUCAGCGUAAAUAACUGGUGAAGAAAGGGCCGGGCAAGACCGGUGCCAGCCGCCGCGGUAAUACCGGCGGCUCGAGUGGUGGCCACUUUUAUUGGGCUUAAAGCGUUCGUAGCUGGGUUGUUAAGUCUCUUGGGAAAUCUGACGGCUUAACCGUCAGGCGUCUAAGAGAUACAGGCAAUCUUGGAACCGGGAGAGGUGAGGGGUACUUCGGGGGUAGGAGUGAAAUCCUGUAAUCCUCGAGGGACCACCUGUGGCGAAGGCGCCUCACCAGAACGGCUUCGACAGUGAGGGACGAAAGCUGGGGGAGCAAACCGGAUUAGAUACCCGGGUAGUCCCAGCCGUAAACGAUGCGCGUUAGGUGUAUCGGUGACCACGAGUCACCGAGGUGCCGAAGGGAAACUGUGAAACGUGCCGCCUGGGAAGUACGGUCGCAAGGCUGAAACUUAAAGGAAUUGGCGGGGGAGCAC
rnacentral:rRNA from 1 species